GUGUAUUCGUAUUAUGUAGUUUAUGUUAUAUGAUUGAAGUGAUAUAUAACUCUAUUGUUUAUAUUGUUUUCACGUCAUAUUCGCAUCUCUAUGGUUAACGUGUCGGGAACUUAUUCAAUGAAAGGGAUAUUUUAAGUCUAUGCAGGGAAUCAAUCUCAGGUUAAAUAAUCUGUGACGCAGACAAGUUUUGCAGGGAAAGGUUAGGUUGGAGAUGGCCUUGAGCAGUUUGUGCAGUUGUUGGCAAUUCAAUGGUUCUGUAACUCAUUAUAAAGCUAUUCCUGAGUUACAUUUUUUAUUUUAGUUUCUGCCAAAUAGUAGUACGGUUGACAUGAUAUGACAUCGAUUAUUAGUAUGACCCUAUAUGAAGAAUAACAUUCUAGGCCUUGUAGAUGGCGACGUCUAUAAAAAGAAAUCGUUCUAGGCGUAGAAUAGCUGCUUUAACGUUUUUGUCCAACAUUUCUUUAGAUGGUACUUACAGAGAUACCAGAUUUGCGUUCUACACCCGAAAUGCGUCAUUUGAGAAAGGGGCACACGAAAACAGACUGGGACGGGAAUGUAAUGUGGAAUGUCCUUAUGAAGGUGAUUUUGAGAGUUGGAAAAGUAAGGACCUUGAUGUAGUUAACACUACAGAAUCUCUUAGGACAAUUAAAAAGGGACAGAGAUCACUUCAGGAGAAUGAAAAGUCUCCAGAUCAUGAAUCAAACAGUUCUGAUUCAAAUCCUAGUGAAACAACAACAACAACCUCUAAGGUAUUUGAUCAGGAUGCACAAGUGCUGCAAAGAAAUUUGAGCAGUAUAACAAGUUCGUUUCGAGAGAGAGCAAAUACUUCAGGGAGCGAUCAUGGUGGUCUGGACCGAAGGUUUGGGUCUGGGGGUCAGAAACGUAAAUUCUUGCAUCAUCAGUCAUCUCUAGUUGAAGACAAGUACUACCACAAUUUCAGUAGCAGCGAAAGUUUGGGGUCAACAGUAGGUCGCAAUAAAAUUAUCCCAGAGGUGGCCUCUCCACCAUGCAAGGAAGUUCGUUUUGUCCGCCCUACAAGAGGACAUCAUUUUCAAGAUGAGCGGUUGUUGCUUGUAUCUGCCAGACAUGUGCCCUUUCUUAUAUUUUCUACAUUACCAUACAACAAGGGCUGCCGGUCCAACAGGAAUGACCUAAGGAAGGAGAGCGGAAGGCGGCGGCAUACAUCGGGGCCACGUCCUUUGUCAGCAAUCAGUGAUGGGAUUGAUCCUUUUGAUCUGCUUGGUUUAGAAAAAGGGCAGGAUGGACAGGAGAUAUCAUAUGGGCAACUGUUGGUGCCAUCACGUCAGUUUCUGGUUCGUGACCGCAAAAUGGUGUCAGAUGAAGCUCCUGACAUUGCUGGCUUCAAACAUCAUUUCGUUGCCAGGUGUUUCUCAUAUGAUGUGCCAGGCUAUCGCGGCUCUGCUCACUGUGGCUCUCCGCCAACCACAUCCACAAUACUGUAUGAAAACAAACCAGCUGGACCCACAGGCAGUGGAACUAGUUUUGAAUGGGAUGACGCAACUCUUGGCCUGCAGUAUGUGCCUAACCUUCUGGAUGACCCAGAGCUAAUUGCAGGCAAACACCGAACUCUGCUGACAUUCACAUCUUAUAUGACUUCUGUUAUUGACUAUGUUCGCCCAUCAGACUUAAAGAAGGAGUUAAAUGACAAGUUUCGUGCCAAGUUUCCUUCAGUUAAGCUGACUUUAAGUAAGUUGAGAAGCCUCAAGCGGGAGUUGCGAAAAAUUGCACGCCAGCAACAAGAUGGACCCGUGGAUCUUCUUACCGUUGCACAGGCAUAUGUUUACUUUGAGAAAUUGAUCCUUCGCAAUAUGAUCAACAAGGAAAACCGCAAGCUGUGCGCAGGUGCCUGCCUCCUGUUGUCAGCAAAACUUAAUGAUGUCAAGGGAGAGCCCCUCAAGGCUCUCAUUGAGAGGACAGAGAGUGUGUUCCGGCUGAACCGAAAAGACCUUCUUGCAUCUGAAUUUGCUGUCCUUGUAGCAUUAGAAUUUGGGCUGCAUUUGCCAACCUGGGAAGUAUUCCCUCACUACCAGCGUCUUAUAUAUGAAUCCUGACAUGCCUGGGAGACCACAGUGUGCAGGAGUAUGGCGUAACAGCAUGAGACACUUGUGCAAAGAAACUGAAAUUGAAAAUUUUGUCUGCAAAUGUUACUGUUGUCUGCAGGUGGUAUGAAGUGCAUGGUGUAGUUUCCCUGUAAGAUCUGCCACCUUAUGAAGUUAGAACCAUCUGUGAAUUCAUAGAGGAUUGUCAUUAAGGUACGAAAAUGACGAAAAGUAAUUCAACAUUCUUGACAUCUUUAGCAUUAUAUGGACUGAGAAGAUUUUCUUGUAGUUACACGAUCUUUUUUUCUCAGAAAGGACCAUGUUUUACGAGCGGUCAUUUAAAACACAAAUCCUGACCUGCAAGUUUCACCCAUGAUUCUUUGUUUGUCUACAGGUCCCACCUGCAUUUUGUCCAUUAUUUGUUUGUGUGCCUGUUUGUAUCAGAUUGAUGCUUGAUGUAUGUAAUACACAUCAAAGUUAAAAGUCAGACCAACAUAUGUAUGUUUGCUACGUUAGCCAUGACUGGAACAGGCUGGUCCACCAUCAUAUAGAAUUGCUAAUACUUAAUACCUUGCUGCCUCAGGGCACCCUGAUGAUGGAGACAGCAAGUACCUCUGAAACGUUGGUACAUCCUAGAAGACAUACAUGGUCAUUAAAUUGUUUGAUGUACAUGAAUAUGGCUGGGUAAUUUUUAGUCAAAAUCUCCAGUACUAAACAUUAUGAAAAUCUGCCCUUGAGUUGUGCAGACAGACGAAAGCGCAUAAAAGGAAGCAAUUUUUCACGAAGUGCUUAAGUUGGUUUCUUGGUUUCGUGCCCCCGUUUUUUCUGCGCCUGCCUUGUUUUUAGGACGUGUCGUUAGGUGUAUUGUGUUUUGUGUGUUUAUGAAGUAUUGCACAUUGACUUGUUCUACAUCCUGAACUUCGAUGUGUAUGAAAUGAACCUAUCCUUCCUUUCCGUCUUUGGCUGAUCAUGGGCCCAGGUAGGGAGGAUGUACUGACGUCAGGACCAUAAUGCAAACGAAAAGUUUCUAGAUUUUAGUGUAUUUUGAACAUCGGGUCAUGGGUAAGCGCAAUUUAUGAAUGGUAGUUUUAAGAAGUUUCACGUACUUCGGCUUGGCUAAGAAGUUUGAAAUCAUUUCGUCGUGUGACGAGACGUAUGUUAGUUAAGAGUUAAAUUGGCGAGCUCUGCAGCAUUCGAUAUAGAAAAAUAACCAAACGCCGGGAAGGAAUAAGAAAGUAAAUUCUGCUGACACCUGUGAAUUGGACCCAGUGCUGUGCGUUACAUGUGCCGCUGUUUUACUCGCUACACGAUACAGUUCGUUAGCGGCAGGUCUUUAAUAUAAAAUGUGACCGAACUGUGACAAUCGGCAGGUGCUCAACGCGGCAAGGAUGUAAUGGGAGUAUAACUGCCUGUAAUGUAUGGUUUGUUACGUGAUUUAUUUGUCUGAAAGAGUCAAUUGAGUUUGUUGCCUGCAGUCCAAGAAGUUAUUUUCCCUAUGGUGUGUGUCCAGGAAAGUGAAUAAGAAGGUGCACAGGUUUUAUCUGAACCAAGGAACUUGCAUCCAUUAUUCCCAAACAAGAUACAAAGAUCUAAACACUUGUGAGACAUUUCCAAAUACUGAACCUUUAAAACAAAAAAAUGACAUGUCUAAAGUAUGUUAAGUUAGACAUUAUUGUCUUCUGAACAAAAGACUGGGCUAGAAUCAUAUGCAUGCGUGUUAGUACUAGAUAUGUCAGUUAAACAAGAUUCAGUUUCUGUUCAGAUUGACAAAACUCCACUUAAUGUUCAGGUGUUGAGAGGAAGAACAGGCAACAUUGUUAAAGUUUUGUCUGACAGAACAGCUGUUUUCAGGGAUAAGGUAUAUGGCGAUGUUACAUUUACUGAGGAUGAAGUUAAAUUCUCUGUAGUACAGAAAGGGAGUGGUUUUAGAAGUUACUUUCCUGAAGGCAGAGUGGUUUAUUUUGACAUUGAGGUUGAUGAUGUGAGAAACGUUAAAUGUAUCAAUAUUUGGGUGUCGAGAAAGCAGGAAUCGAACUCAAGUUCUCAACCCAUUUCCUACACACAUCACACAGCAAAACUUAUUGAUCAUACAGUGUAUAGAGGAACAGUAAUCAAAAUGCGAUGUCCAUUUGCCUUUGUGGUGGAAAUAGAUGACUCUAAGAAUCUUGUCUUUGUGUUCAACCAAGCCUUUAAGCCCAACCAGCACGCAGGAAAACUGCGUAGAGAUGAACCUGUCAGCCUUUAUGUGUCUAAGGGGGAUACGGUAUAUGUAAAAGUAUAUAAAAAUACAUCAGGAAAAGAGUUUGAGUGGUCGGCAUGGGAUGCAUGGAUGGAAGGUGAUGAUGCUUUGUUGUCAAGUACGAGCUCUAAAAAAAAGAAACAGCAACGUAAGAGAACUCGUAAGUCAGAGGGAAAAACUUGCACUAUGAAAGGCCAACUGGGCUUUGUGGGCAUUGAAGCUGCACAUCUUGUAAGUGCAGAGUGUAAUGAUACAGUGUUCUUUCAUCGUGACGUUGCAUUCCUGUUUGGAGUACCCAUGAAGGGGUUGAGGUUGGAUCAGAUUUUCAGAACAGGUGAAGAAAUGAGUUUCCUGUUAUCAGAGGAUGUUAAAAGUGAAGCAUCGUGUGUUUGGUUUGGCUCACGUGAUUCUGUCAGCCUGAGCCUGAGAGAGAGAACAAACUGUAUAAUGAAGUAUUGCUUUAGGCAUUGACCCAUUGGUUUUGACAACAAUCGUUCAGGAACUUGGCAAACAGCGGUUACCUGAUGAAGGUAAACAGCAAUUUGAAGAUGAAGAGGAAAUAUAUGAUUCGUACAGUACUAGGGUAUUAAAUGAAUUUGCAGCAGUAACACUUUCUCAGAAAGAAUUAAGUGGUUCCACUGCAAGUAAAUUUGAUGCUAACCAAGUGGUUAGUAGUGAUACCACUGAACAAAGCACUUUAUCUGCAACCACAGCAACAAGUAAUAUAGUUCAAGGUUCAGCACUAAACAUCAGUGCUAUAACACCUGCAACCAAAGAAAGGAGCUUUGUUGCUAUUACUAAGCAAAAUAUGACUGCAAAUCAAGAAACAAAGUGUAUAGUGACGACAGCAUUAAGUACUUCCUCAGUGACAGCUUCAAAACAAAUCAUUGGUAUUGCCACAGCUGCAACCAAAAAAAGCGAUUCUGUGGUUACAGCAACUACAGCCGCAGCAGUUGCAAAUUUUGAAAAUGAAAAUAAUUUUACUGUGACAGCAGCUAGCAAAACAUUUAUGGAUUCAACAGAAGAUGCUAAAAUAAUUACAAAUUUUUUGGAACCAAAAAGUGAAGUUAAAACAGAUUCUUUGAAAGAUAACAGUAACGCAAACAAGAGGACCGUGACCCAAACUACCAAAGCACAUUAUGAAGUGAAAAAUAGCACAGCAGCUUCUAUCAGUGAAAAGACUGACUCUAAAAGUCAUGAUCACAGGCACAUGGAUUUGCGUAAAAUACGCUCUCAGUCAUGUGUUUCUGAUACGGAAUCAGAAAUACUGUGUGGUAAUGAGUCAGAAUUUCAUAUGUCUCUGAUUAACACAGAUAUAGAAUACAAUUUGGAGGUGUCUCUUCUGACAGUUCUUAAGAAAGAAGUAGGAGAAUCAGCGUCACUGAUUCUGACACCUCAUGUGAUUGGGUGCUUCAAAAAAGAAUUGAAUUGCGUGGUACAUGAGCUUAUGAUGAAAGCCAUCUCCUCUGUUGUAGAUAAUAUAACUGAACACUGCAACCAAGAUGAAAAUGUGCUUUGCGAAAGUGCAACAGAAGUAACAAAGAUCAGUAACAUGGCUCAAAAGUGGAAGAAAGAACUGAUGUUGAUUGCAGACAAACAGAGGGCAGAAAAAGAAAAUGAAAUGGCAACAUUACUGGAUAGGGCCCACAAAUACAGGAAAAGAAUGUCUGUAUUGUGCCUCAGUGAUAAGGUAUCGCAGAGCAACUGUGAAGAAAGUAAUGGUAACAGUUGCAUCAUUAAUAAUGGUGAUAAGAAUGAAAGUUACGUUAAUGAUAGCAUAAAUUUUGUUCCUGAUGGUUAUGGUGAUGGUACAACAGAAAAGAGUAGUUUAGUUGGAAUUGUGCAGGACUUCCUGCUGUUACAAAAUACAACCGACUCUCAUAUGGUGGGAACUCAGAAAUGCGUUUCAGACCAAGAGACACAGACUAUUUCAACUGGUUCUGUCCUUUAUUUAAAACACCUUCCUGAUUUGUAGCCAUGGGACUGUUCUUCAGGAUAAUAUAUUAUUUUAUUUAAAGCAGUUUCUCUCAACUGGUGGUCCAUGGUCUAAUGCUGGCCCACAGCCCAUCCUUAAAUCCUAUAGUACAUGUUUAACAUUAUGUUCUGAAGUGCUACAGGGCUUCACCUGUUUGACGAUGCUGUGUGUGUUAUUGGCUGUGUCCACAAUGCCUCUUAUAAUAAAUAUUAAAAUGCUGCUUCUUCUUGGACCUUUCCGUAGUUGUUUGGUGCAAUUGGAUAUCAUGAUUAUUCAGGAGUAUGAGGCUGUGUUGCAAUGUAUUGUAAUGAUUGAAAGCAAAGGUUGAUAAUGAUGAAUAAUAAGUUGGGUUUGAAGAUUUCCGUCUUCUGGGUUGUUGCGCUGUGUAGUCUGGUCGAUGUUUACCAACGUUUCAUAGAUGAUGGAGGCAAUCUUCAUACUCACCGCUGUGAAAACCUCAAAUCUUACAAGUUGGGUUUGAAUUGAGGAGUUUCACUUUAAUAUCCUGUUGCAGUUUUGAUGGACUAUGUCUGGAACACCAACAUAGAUUAAUCUUAACAUAUUCUAUUAACUUAAGUGACCAAAGAAAUCAAUUUAAAAUAACUUUUCAUUACAAGGUGAACUGAAAUCACAAAAUUCCUCAUUGUAAAUUAUCUUAAAUUAUUCACUUACUUAAUCUUUCUUAGGUCCAGAUAUUUUUCUGGUAACUUUGAUUCAGGCACGUGAAAUUUGCCAUAUUUUCAUAAAUAUAAGUCACAUCUUUUUCCAAGCUUGGAUUGGACCAACUGUUUUACUUUCAAGUUUUUGUAUAUAGUGAUUGCAGAGAUAUUAAAAUAAAUUACAAGUUUGUUGAA